rnacentral:lncRNA from 1 species
CGUUUCCCUGCAAACACUAGGCCAAAGAGCACUGAUGAGCAGCCAGAUCUAGGACACAGAAGGAGAUGGGAAGCUAAAGACAGGUGGAGUUUGUUCUGCAGCACAGGUAGAGCAUGGAAUCGCUUUUCAACUCCUCUGGCCAACUUCUACUGGGAGAUUUACAUACAAGUCCUCAGUCAAGUCUUAAAAGAAUUAUCCAGAGUCCCCUGGGUAAAAACAAUCUGCUUCAACAAAGAGUAGAGUCCAGAGCUUCUCAGUGAUUCUUUUUGGUUGAGCCGAAACCAGAAAAGCCCAUCACAGCUGCCAUUUCAUCAUCCUCUUCAAAAGUCAAAUCUUCCUCUGCCCUCCUUUUCUUUUCUCUCUGCUUCUCCUUCUUGUACGCUUUGGCCUUUUCCUCCUCCUCGCGGAGUUCCUUCAUCCUCUCCUCAAAGUCAUAGUCCUUCUGCUUCUCCUCCAUCUUCUUCUUGUUCACCUCAAAGCGCUUCUUCACCUGGUCCAGCGUGGAGCGCUCCACCCGCAUGGACAUGCCCAGGUUUCUCUGGUCUUUUUUUGCCAUUGAUGUGAUCCAAGAAGUUAAUGGAGUCUUUCACCACGCAGUCACAUACAUUACAGUAAUACCCUCCCAUCUCUGACUGAGGGGUAGUUUUGGUAAUGACAAUGGUUUUCCCCAGCUUCGAUUCCAGGUCCACUUUGUAGUCUCGGUGCCGCAGAAGUUCCCUUUUGACGGGUUGAGCUGGUUUGCCAUCUUUCUUUUCUCUCUCCUCCGUGAGCCGCUUCUCUGCAAGUUUCUCAUAUUCAUCUUUGUCCCACUUUCGGCGGAAGUCCAAGUUCUUAGUCCCACUGCCCGACGCCAUGUUGAGCUGCAGGCGAC